rnacentral:rRNA from 1 species
CAACCUACCUAUCAGAGGGGAAUAACCCGGCGAAAGUCGGACUAAUACCGCAUAAAACAGGGGCACCNNNUGGUGAUAUUUGUUAAAGAAAUUCGCUGAUAGAUGGGCAUGCGCUCCAUUAGGUAGUUGGUGAGGUAACGGCUCACCAAGCCGACGAUGGAUAGGGGAACUGAGAGGUUGGUCCCCCACACUGGUACUGAGACACGGACCAGACUCCUACGGGAGGCAGCAGUGAGGAAUAUUGGUCAAUGGGCGGGAGCCUGAACCAGCCAAGUCGCGUGAAGGAAGAAGGAUCUAUGGUUCGUAAACUUCUUUUGCAGGGGAAUAAAGUGCGGGACGUGUCCUGUUUUGUAUGUACCCUGAGAAUAAGGAUCGGCUAACUCCGUGCCAGCAGCCGCGGUAAUACGGAGGAUCCGAGCGUUAUCCGGAUUUAUUGGGUUUAAAGGGUGCGUAGGUGGUUUGAUAAGUCAGCGGUGAAAGUUUGCAGCUUAACUGUAAAAAUGCCGUUGAAGCUGUCGGACUUGAGUGUAAAUGAGGUAGGCGGAAUGCGUGGCGUAGCGGUGAAAUGCAUAGAUAUCACGAAGAACUCCGAUUG